UACGUAGGGUGCGAGCGUUGUCCGGAAUUAUUGGGCGUAAAGGGCUCGUAGGUGGUCUGUCACGUCGGGAGUGAAAACUCGGGGCUUAACCCCGAGCCUGCUUCCGAUACGGGCAGACUAGAGGUAUGCAGGGGAGAACGGAAUUCCUGGUGUAGCGGUGAAAUGCGCAGAUAUCAGGAGGAACACCGGUGGCGAAGGCGGUUCUCUGGGCAUUACCUGACGCUGAGGAGCGAAAGUGUGGGGAGCGAACAGG
rnacentral:rRNA from 1 species